GAUGAAGAACGUAGCGAAAUGCGAUACGUAAUGUGAAUUGCAGAAUUCAGUGAAUCAUCGAGUCUUUGAACGCACAUUGCGCCCCCUGGUAUUCCGGGGGGCAUGCCUGUCCGAGCGUCAUUGCUGCCCUCAAGCACGGCUUGUGUGUUGGGCCUCCGUCCUCCUCCCGGGGGACGGGCCCGAAAGGCAGCGGCGGCGCCGCGUCCGGUCCUCGAGCGUAUGGGGCUUCGUCACCCGCUCUUGUAGGCCCGGCCGGCGCUUGCCGACACAUCAAUCUUUUUUCCAGGUUGACCUCGGAUCAGGUAGGGAUACCCGCUGAACUUAAGCAUAUCAAUAAGCGGAGGA
rnacentral:misc_RNA from 1 species